AUGGCGGAGUACGACGAGCAGGGCAUGGCCAUCGCGGCCGCCGAGAUACUUCUCAGCCUCCGGACCAGGAAGCUGGCCCGGUGGCCGGAGUGGGUUCCCCGGCCGUCCAACGACCUUGCCCCGGCGGCGGCGGAUCUCCAGCGGCCGGAGGAUGCGGAGGACGAGCUUCCGCCGAUUCCGGAGCGAUGGCCGAAGCGGCCGCGGUUGUCGCCCCGUGCGGUGGCGAAAGGAACCGCGUGGCUGGUGUCGUGGGAGAGUCCCUUUGCGCGGCUGGGUGAGCCUGUUCUCGCCAGAUCCGGCGCGUGCUCCAGCGGGGAGGAAAGGGCGCGGUCGCACCCGCGCGUCACGAAGGCGAAGCGCGCGCCUUUGGCGGCGCGGAGGCCGGAGACGCCGCCGUACUACGUCUCGGCCACCGGAUCCGGCCCUUCCACGAGCGGCAUGGACCGUGCGCGGUCGCGGCGGCGGCCGCGCGUGAGCGAGAAGGCGCAGGCAACGGCGGCCGCGUGGACGGACGGCGCCAUGGACCGUGCGCGGUCGCGGCGGCGGCCGCGCGUGAGCGAGAAGGCGCAGGCAACGGCGGCCGCGUGGACGGACGGCGCCAUGGCGGCAUCGAGCCCGGAGACGCCCUUCGACUACGCCAACGCCGCUGGAUCAGGGGCGUCCUCGAGCGGGGACGAGGUGGCGCGGUCGACGGCGAAGCGCAAGGCGCAGGGGCCGGGCGGAUCCGGAGUGCCUUCCAGCGGCGACGAGGGGUGCAGCUCGCCGGCGAAGCGCGCGCGGGCGGACGUCUCCAUCGCCGGCGCCGUGCAACCCGCGCCAGGCGCGGUUAAACUUGAGGAUCAAAAGACCGAGAACAAUUACCGGGACGAGAAGGGCCACUUGAUGUUUGACCUCAAUGAAGAUCCAGACAUGGCGGCGGAGUGGUAA
rnacentral:rRNA from 1 species